rnacentral:piRNA from 1 species
UAAACAAGCUCAUUAGGAUAAGAAAC